rnacentral:rRNA from 1 species
UCCGUAGGUGAACCUGCGGAAGGAUCAUUACCGAACAAACAAGGGUCUUGAGACUGCGCCGUUCAUUUGGCGUGUGCUCGACUCUUACUCUUUCAUCCAUUCACACCUGUGCACUAAGGGGACAUUGGGUUGUCCCCCUUUUUUAUAUAUUAUAAAUACCGAGUUUAUAUGUAUGUCAUAAUGCUCUACGGAGUAAUAAAAUAAAAUACAACUUUCAACAACGGAUCUCUUGGCUUUCGCAUCGAUGAAGAACGCAGCGAACGUGCGAAACGUAAUGUGAAUUGCAGAAUUCAGUGAAUCAUCGAAUCUUUGAACGCAUCUUGCGCUCCUUGGUAUUCCGAGGAGCAUGCCUGUUUGAGUGUCGUGAAUAUCUCUCAAUCUUAAACGUUUUUUUCUUUUGGCGUUUGAAAUUGGACUUGGGCGUUGUCGUCCGUUUGGACGACUCGUCCCUAAAUACAUUAGCGAUCUGCCCCUGAUCACACACAAUGUGAUAAGUUUUUAAGCAUUGUCAUGGUUAGGUUUCGGUGAUGGCUUCUAACCGUCGUUAAGACAAAACUCAUAUCAUGUCAUUUGACCUCAAAUCAGGUAGGACUACCCGCUGAACUUAAGCAUAUCAAUAAGCGGAGGAA